GAUCCGGUUAGGCGGUCUUGCUUCGGCUUGAACUGCCCAGUUGGAUCUUUCCUUCUGGCAAACUAUUGUGCUCUUAACUUGAGUGUGGUAGGGAACCAGGACUUUUACUUUGAAAAAAUUAGAGUGUUCAAAGCAGGCUAACGCUUGAAUACAUUAGCAUGGAAUAAUAAAAUAGGACUUUGGUUUUAUUUUGUUGGUUUCUAGAACCGAAGUA
rnacentral:rRNA from 1 species